rnacentral:rRNA from 1 species
GACGAACGCUGGCGGCGUGCUUAACACAUGCAAGUCGAGCGGUAAGGCCCUUUCGGGGGUACACGAGCGGCGAACGGGUGAGUAACACGUGGGUGACCUGCCCUCAGCUCUGGGAUAAGCCUGGGAAACCGGGUCUAAUACUGGAUAUGACUCCAUGACGCAUGUUGUGGGGUGGAAAGCCUUGUGCGGCUGAGGAUGGGCCCGCGGCCUAUCAGCUUGUUGGUGGGGUGANGGCCUACCAAGGCGACGACGGGUAGCCGGCCUG